rnacentral:sRNA from 1 species
CUUGGUCAUUUAGAGGAAGUAAAAGUCGUAACAAGGUCUCCGUAGGUGAACCUGCGGAGGGAUCAUUACAAGUGACCCCGGUCUAACCACCGGGAUGUUCAUAACCCUUUGUUGUCCGACUCUGUUGCCUCCGGGGCGACCCUGCCUUCGGGCGGGGGCUCCGGGUGGACACUUCAAACUCUUGCGUAACUUUGCAGUCUGAGUAAACUUAAUUAAUAAAUUAAAACUUUUAACAACGGAUCUCUUGGUUCUGGCAUCGAUGAAGAACGCAGCGAAAUGCGAUAAGUAAUGUGGAUUGCAGAAUUCAGUGAAUCAUCGAAUCUUUGAACGCACAUUGCGCCCCCUGGUAUUCCGGGGGGCAUGCCUGUUCGAGCGUCAUUUCACCACUCAAGCCUCGCUUGGUAUUGGGCAACGCGGUCCGCCGCGUGCCUCAAAUCGACCGGCUGGGUCUUCUGUCCCCUAAGCGUUGUGGAAACUAUUCGCUAAAGGGUGUUCGGGAGGCUACGCCGUAAAACAACCCAAUUUCUAAGGUUGACCUCGGAUCAGGUAGGGAUACCCGCUGAACUUAAGCAUAUCAAUAAGCGGAGGAAAAGAAACCAACAGGGAUUGCUCUAGUAACGGCGAGUGAAGCAGCAAUAGCUCAAAUUUGAAAUCUGGCGUCUUCGACGUCCGAGUUGUAAUUUGUAGAGGAUGCUUCUGAGUAACCACCGACCUAAGUUCCUUGGGACAGGACGUCAUAGAGGGUGAGAAUCCCGUAUGCGGUCGGAAAGGUGCUCUAUACGUAGCUCCUUCGACGAGUCGAGUUGUUUGGGAAU